CAGUUUAAAUGAACCUUAAGCAAUGUUUUGUGGCCGUUUAUUGUUGAUAGUUUUAGGUAUUCAUAUGUCUUUGCAGAUCAACUCUGAUGACAUUGACUCGGUGGCACCACUUCCCCCAACUGAAGAAAAGAUACAGGAGUAUCUGGAGGCCAGGGCUGCAAAGGAUGAAGAGGUGUUCCAGACGGUAAAGAUGCAAGUGGAGAAGGCGCAGGAGAGACAGAAGAAGCAGUAUCGGAGCUGGAUCAAGAGAGGAAUGAAGUGCUUCAGGAUCGAAGUGGGCAUGAAGGUUCUGAAGAAGAAUGAGUGGAAGACUUGACGCCUAGGCUCUAAGCUGGAACAGAACUGGCUGGUCCUUACAGGUACUCUGGAAAGAUUAAGUUGACAUUUCUCUCUAUUUUUUCAAACAUUCAAGAUGGAAGUUUAGCAGGGUGUGAAUAUAUACAGUUUCUUAAUUAAACUAGCUACAUAUGUAUGUGCUAAUGUGUACAAAUGUAAUUUUUUCAAUGAAGGGUAACUGAAGUCAUGAACAACCUUGUGAAGCUGGAGAGUCAAGCCAUUCAGAACGGGUCUGUAUGUUACCUUUAACCAUGCUACAACUUGGCAGUUAUUCCUAUGUUUAUUAGCCUUUGCAUAUACAUAUUGUUACAGGUUUGCAGAAUGAAGGGGUAUAGGCCGGUGCUCAAAAGAAGUGACAUGUUUUGUGUAUUUCUUUCUCACAGGGCAACAGAGCGAUCCAGUCCAAAACACAACAAUAAAACAAAUAACUCCUCCCCCCUUGUCCACACACCCAUGAGCCGAGUGCCUGGUGCCCCACACCAUCAAAAAGAAAACAAGCAAAAUAAUGUAGCCCCAUGCUGGCUGCAACAUUAUAGAAUUUCUCUAUUUUUUGCUUACAGCAAGAGACAACACCCACCUGAAGGUGUCCAGUCAGUCUGCGGAGACAACUAACCAGCCAGAGGACACGUGCCUGAUGGACAUGUCAUCCCAUCAGGAUGAGGCAGAGGUGGUGUCACAUGGACUGAAAGAAAACACCUGCCAGUGGUGGAAUGACCUUCCUACAGAUGUCAGGACUGCCCAGUCCCUGACCACAUUCCGGCGCCUCCUUAAGACUCGCCUCUUCAAACAGCACCUGUAGAACUCCUCUGUUUGUAUCCUGGGACACUAUCACCCUUCAUUUAAAUGUGCUUCAUUUUGCUCUUAUCUGCCCCCUAUUUUACUGCAUUUAAUCAUGUA